rnacentral:rRNA from 1 species
GAUUGAACGCUAGCGGGAUGCUUUACACAUGCAAGUCGAACGGCAGCGCGGACUUCGGUCUGGCGGCGAGUGGCGAACGGGUGAGUAAUAUAUCGGAACGUACCCAGUAGCGGGGGAUAACUACUCGAAAGAGUAGCUAAUACCGCAUACGCCCUACGGGGGAAAGGGGGGGAUCGCAAGACCUCUCACUAUUGGAGCGGCCGAUAUCGGAUUAGCUAGUUGGUGGGGUAAAGGCCUACCAAGGCGACGAUCCGUAGCUGGUUUGAGAGGACGACCAGCCACACUGGGACUGAGACACGGCCCAGACUCCUACGGGAGGCAGCAGUGGGGAAUUUUGGACAAUGGGGGAAACCCUGAUCCAGCCAUCCCGCGUGUGCGAUGAAGGCCUUCGGGUUGUAAAGCACUUUUGGCAGGAAAGAAAUCGCACGGGUUAAUACCUUGUGUGGAUGACGGUACCUGCAGAAUAAGCACCGGCUAACUACGUGCCAGCAGCCGCGGUAAUACGUAGGGUGCAAGCGUUAAUCGGAAUUACUGGGCGUAAAGCGUGCGCAGGCGGUUCGGAAAGAAAGGUGUGAAAUCCCAGGGCUUAACCUUGGAACUGCAUUUUUAACUACCGGGCUAGAGUAUGUCAGAGGGGGGUGGAAUUCCGCGUGUAGCAGUGAAAUGCGUAGAUAUGCGGAGGAACACCGAUGGCGAAGGGCAGCCCCCUGGGAUAAUACUGACGCUCAUGCACGAAAGCGUGGGGAGCAAAACAGGGAUUAGAUACCCUGGGUAGUCCACGCCCUAAACGAUGUCAACUAGCUGUUGGGGCCUUCGGGCCUUAGUAGCGCAGCUAACGCGUGAAGUUGACCGCCUGGGGAGUACGGUCGCAAGAUUAAAACUCAAAGGAAUUGACGGGGACCCGCACAAGCGGUGGAUGAUGUGGAUUAAUUCGAUGCAACGCGAAAAACCUUACCUACCCUUGACAUGUCUGGAAUCCCGAAGAGAUUUGGGAGUGCUCGCAAGAGAACUGGAACACAGGUGCUGCAUGGCUGUCGUCAGCUCGUGUCGUGAGAUGUUGGGUUAAGUCCCGCAACGAGCGCAACCCUUGUCAUUAGUUGCUACGAAAGGGCACUCUAAUGAGACUGCCGGUGACAAACCGGAGGAAGAUGGGGAUGACGUCAAGUCCUCAUGGCCCUUAUGGGUAGGGCUUCACACGUCAUACAAUGGUCGGGACAGAGGGUUGCCAACCCGCGAGGGGGAGCCAAUCUCACAAACCCGAUCGUAGUCCGGAUUGCAGUCUGCAACUCGACUGCAUGAAGUCGGAAUCGCUAGUAAUCGCGGAUCAGAAUGUCGCGGUGAAUACGUUCCCGGGUCUUGUACACACCGCCCGUCACACCAUGGGAGUGGGUUUCACCAGAAGUAGUUAGCCUAACCGUAAGGAGGGCGAUUACCACGGUGGGAUUCAUGACUGGGGU